CGGGCCAACUCACCGAUUGGAUUGAAAAGGUGCAUGGGCCCACAACGCUGAUCGUCAGCGACCACCGCCCUGUGCCUCUGCAAUUCAGCU
rnacentral:tRNA from 1 species